rnacentral:ncRNA from 1 species
ACAGUGUCGCAAUACUAAUUCAACCUAGUACGAGAGGAAUCGUUGAUUCACACAAUUGGUUAUCGCGCUUGGUUGAAAAGCCAGUGGUGCGAAGCUACCGUGUGCUGGAUUUUGACUGAACGCCUCUAAGUCAGAAUCCGGUCUAGAAGUGAUGCAUGCGCCCGCCGUCCGCAUACCGACCCACAGUAGGGGCCUCGGCCCCCAAGGGCACGUGUCGUUGGCUAAGCCGCUACAGCGGAAGGGUCGCGGUGGCCGCGUUGAAGUACAAUUUCCAUCGAGUGGCGGGUAGAAUCCUUUGCAGACGACUUAAAUAAGCGAUGUGGUAUUGUAAGUGGCAGAGUGGCCUUGCUGCCACGAUCCACUGAGAUUCAGCCCUUUGUCGCUCCGGAUC